CAGAUGUGAGGGAUGCGAUUGGACAACCAUUAUGACAUCGGUCUGCACAUCCGGAGGACUGGCCUUCCUUCUGUCCAAGGCAAAAAUCCAGACAUGAUCUCAUCAGAGCCACUCCCUGGAGGGAAUCGGGAGACAUAGGACUGUUUCAUCCCAUUUUCAGAUUGUGAAACUGAGGAAUGAGAGGAGCUUAAUAAGGGUUCUCCUACUGUGGUGCCCUUUCCACUCAUGUUGACCCAAACAAUGGUUGUUCUUCCUAAUGUGUUGUGGUCUCGUGGGAAGCUUCAUGAGUGUCAGUGAUGAGCUGGGACUGAAGGAAUAGAACAAAGACGUUCGGUUCUGGCUGUGUGCCACCCAGGUUUGACUGAGUAACCAAAAGGUCUCUGCUGCCUGGAUUAUUUGCUGAUGUCUCCAAGGGAAGAAGAUACACAGACAGAGCUGGGCUGGGUUUCUUGUCUGAAGAGCUGCUCCCACUCCCAGCUCCACUGUGAGCUACGUGUGUGACCUCAGGGAGAUGUGUCAGCAAACCCAGACUCUGUUUCCUCACUGUAAAGAGAAGGUUAAAAGCCUCUACUGUUGGAUGAUUGCGAGGUUAGGUGAGACAUCAUGUGCAAAAUCACUCUGUAAACUGUGAAGUGCUGUGCCAGUGGUAGUAAUUACUCUUCGUCAUCCCUAGAGUCGGUUUUUCAGCUCACCUGUUUCCUUCAUUGCCUGGCAGCUUUCCUACCUGGGGCAUGUGACUAGGACUGAAAUGCUAGGGAGCCCAGAAAAUCUACUUCCCAGCAAGAGCUGUAAAACAUCCCAUCCUAAUUGAGAGAGACAAAGGAGAACAAUGAGUCAGAGGAGCUCCAGGGGAGCGGCCCGCUCCGACAAGAGGCUUUGCUGAGGCUCCUCUGGCCUUACAACGUCUUACAUGGGUGUGCCAGGGAAUGAAGGCGAGCAGACCCGUGGAAAUCGAUUUGGAACCGGAUCAAUCCCAUCCUCGACUUUGCCAUCCCUCUCUCAGAAUUAUAAACAUAAGAUGAUUACAGCACACUUCCUGCAUGUGCCUUCCAUGUGGCUCCAGUGUCAGCCUCACAAACGCAGGCGAGUAAACACUCCUGGUGCAGCUCUGAGGCCUCGCCCCUCUGGUUUGCUCUUGAGCAGGGAGAGGCUGGGAGGAUGGGCCCCGGGGUACGUCUGCCCUGGGAGGUACCAGCCUUCUCCCUUCUGGUGGCAGAGGAGUCAUCCUGCCUUCAGGGCUUUGCAUGUUGGGGUGGCAUUGGGGAGCUACAAAGGAGGCUGGGAAAUGUUUUCUUUUCUUUCUUUCUUUUUAAAAAAAUCUCUUUCGCUCCAGCCCAUUCCUGGAAAACCACAAUCCCCCCGCCUCCCCCAAGCAGUCUCCAAGUCCUUCAGUUUUGAAAAACACACAUUUUCUCUGCUACCCCUUGCUCCUGUGGAUGUUUCGAGCCACAAUUACUUUUCAGUGUAAAUGAGUAUGAGGCUGAGGCUUUCCUUAAUGUGUUAGGAUGCCAGGCCCCUGUGGUUUGACACCACCAAAAUAGACAAAUUGUUAACUUGAUGGUUUUUCGGCAAUUUUCUCCCCUCUCCCGGAUCUCAAAUGAAUCUCAUUCCUAAGGAACUGACCAAGGAACUCUGACCUCUUGCCUCAACUGCUUAAAGGCCUCUAGUACUUUUUUUCCUUGGCCUGCUACUCUCUUGAUAUCAGAAGGUGAACUGAACUUCAAAGGGCAAUAGGCCAGAUGUCUUGUUUCCCCCACGAAGGGCUGGUUUCCUCUCAUUUGUCUGCAUUCCAUGUGCGUGAUUUCAGGUUGGUAUCCAUUUCGCCUGGGCCCCCACUCUGCAGGGCAGUGACUUGGGUUAUUUGCUGGUCCUGAUGCUGCAGGGAUUUGACAAAGUUCCGUUAUCCAUGCUGCUUGGUGUGAGUGUGUGCAUGCAUGUGUGUGUUCUCCGGCAGCACCAGCAGCCCCUGGGGCCGGCACUCUAGUUUAGCAGCCACAAUUCAUUCACACGGUUCAUGUUGAUUCAUACUGAGUGCUUGAAA